ACCUAUCUAUUGUGUUGUCCUCGUACUGAUUUGGAUACAAUAGCAUGUAUAUAAAGGAAAUUACAUGAAGACAGUUUUCAAUAUGUUUUAGACAAAGAACAUUGCUAUUAUCCACUCCCUUAAUCUAAUAAGUAUCCUUGUUAUCCUGGUUGAUGUCAACCACUCUUACUUAUCUUGGUCGAUACAAAUAGAUUGUUGUAAUAUUUAUUUCAUAAGCUAAUAAUCCAAUUAUUAUCUAGACAGAAUCCUUGUUCUUCUGGGCCUUGAUUUCCGUUCUUCAUCUUCAUCUUCAGGCACUGUAUUUUUGUCUUUGCCUUUAACUUGUUUCUUGUUCUCGUGGACACUUUUUUUUGUUUUGGAAAAUCCGUCUCAGUGCAUUCAUCCUCUGAGUCAUCCGACGAUAUUAUAACAGAUCUCAGUCUCCUUUUAUUGCCAUUACGGAGCUCACGUGAUGACGAUGAUGAUCUUUUGUCUUGCUGCUUGUCUUUGUUUAAUGUAGAUUCACUGCCGUCACAUGGCUCCUCUAUCACAGGCACUAGUUUGCAGGAAGGUGAAACUUUAUUAUUCUAUGACUGCAUACAUAUACAUUUUCAAAAUAAGACACAUCUCUAAAAUUUCAAGUGUGUAUCAUCAAAAAAUCAAUCACCUUUUUAUUUGGCACGUUCUGCUGCUUCAUUAACGUAGUGUCCACAUCAUCAUCCAUCAAUUCGUCUGCAACAAAUGUAAUAUGAAUUGGUUAAGGAAUUCUAAAGAUGGUACUUUAUUUUUGAAACAAAGUUAAUGAUCCUUUACCACCUCGGUUUUGUCGUUCAAGUAGAGCAUCUCAAGCCUAUCAUCAGGCACAAAUGUUCUUUUUACUGCAUAGUUUUGUGUGCCAAAUGUGACAUUACUAUCAUUGAGCUUGAAUCGAAAUAUUAAUUUCUUUCCACAUAAUUGUUGAAUAAUCUUUGCCGCUUCUUCUGUUUUCCCAUCCAGUGAGUCCAGCAAGUCAGAUGCAGAUGUAUUAAGCAAUCUUGCAGCCUCCUCGUCAAAUAAAGUGCAACUUGUAGUAGAUAUAUGGUCACUAAUUUGUAGCCGAAUACGAUACCUAACAUACCAUUCAUGUUAGUGGAGAGUAAAUAUAAUAUAACACUUAUUGUUCAUAUUUUAGUAAUAUAAUAUGCUUACCGAGGUGUGACCUUUUUUUGGAUAUAUACCACAACUCUUGUAAUAAUACUUGUCGGCUUCCUUGAUAACCAUUUUGGGACAGUUAUCACAUGAAAUGUACCAACAUUUAAUAUUUUCUUACAACCGAUCUACUGUAGCUAUUGCCGUGAACACAAAAUCCUGAAAACAAUCAACAUUAGCAUUGGGGUAGGGGUGGAGGAUUAAGUCACAUAUAUAAAUUGAAUAUGGUUCCAUCUAUCUAUCUAUCUAUCUAUCUAUACCUAUACUAAUUAUAGACUCCCUAAAAAUUCCUACGUUAAUUAGAAUUUAUGAGCCAUUAAUCUGAUGGGUCCAGAUUAUUACGGUGUAGAUUCGAUUAAAAUUUUGCUUUUGUUGUGAGAAAAAACGCUCCAAAGCAAACGAUUCCAUUAAAAAAUGAUUAGCAAUCUUUAUCUCUUUCAUUCACGAAAAAAACGCUCUAAAGCAGUCCACCUAACAUAGGGUCAUACAUGUCUCCUUCCAUAUAAAAAUACAAAGAAAAAAAACAUGGUGCCUUUUCUUUAGCCCCGAGCAGCCGCGCCGCCAGAGGUCGCGAACCUGCCGCCACAUCGACUCCUCCGCGUCCGGUGCGCCGCCAGAGCAUCCGUCGCGUGCCGGCGAGCUCACCAGCGAGCAGCAACCGUCCUCCGGCCUUGCCUUUUUGCCGUCCUUCCCUGCUCCUCUCUCACCUCUCUCUGCCUCACCUCCACAGGGACAUCGAGACGCCGCCGGCGCGCGGAACAAAGCCGCCCCAACUGGAUCCACGCCCUCCGCCAUCGCCCGCUCUCCUGCCGUAUGUCCUCACCUUGAAUCGGUCGCGCUGAUAGCCGUCGAUGCCAGAUCCUAGCUUGGCUGCCCGCUGAACGACCAGCACCGUAUGCCUUGCAACCACGCGCCUCUCACUGUCGAGGGCGGCAGGAACGAUGGAGUCGUGCAUGUGUCGGCUCCUAUGUGGUGCGUGCAGAGCCACUGGCUUGCGGAAUGGCUGCAGGCCUGGAGCGCGCCCUGCCUCGAGCAGCACGCAUGCAUGGAUGGCGGCCGAGACAUCAGAGGAGCUUCAGCAGAGAAACGGGGCUGCCGAGCCAAAUUUGCUGAACCAGGCUGCCAAGUUUGAGAUCUUCCAUCAAUUUCUAUUACAACAGAAAAAUGGUCCCUCUCACAUAUAUGGUCGAACAUGAAAGGAUGCACAUUCGUUUUUGAAGAUUGAAAAUAACGUUUCAUGGAGCAAACUUGAGAUAUUCUGCUAAUGAUAGGAAGCGUGGUUGAAAACUGCUCUGGCUGGAGUUGUAUGCUUGUGACGGAAGACUAGAGACUGGUGUCACGGUGACUUGCAGCCACUCCUGAUGGUCCUACCACCCAGCUUUUGCUCUCUCGAAUUUUCCUAUUUUCAUGUUAACACUGCUAUUGGGGCCAAUCUCUGUUGUUUACUGCUCUGAUCAAGCUAUUGCUAGGAUUCCAUGUUUCCUACAUUGUAUUAUACUGAUCAUUAGUAAUUCAGCCUACAUUGUAUUAUACUGGCCAUUAGUUGAAUGUUGAUUCUCUGAUAAUCUUAAUACAUCCAUGGCUGUUGAGGAAA